AGAGUUUGAUUCUGGCUCAGAACGAACGCUGGCAGCGUGGAUUAGGCAUGCAAGUCGAACGAGAAGCCCUGGUCUCAAUCUUCGGAGAGAAACCAGGGUGGACAGUGGCGGAAGGGUGAGUAACGCGUGGGCAAUUUGCCUCCGGAUUGGGGACAACUCCGCGAAAGCGGGGCUAAUACCGAAUAUGGUCUCCUGUCGCAUGACGGGAAGAUUAAAGAUGGGGAUUCUUCGGAACCUGUCGUCUGGAGAGGAGCCCGCGUACGAUCAGCUUGUUGGUGAGGUAACGGCUCACCAAGGCUUUGACCGUUAGCCGGCCUGAGAGGGUGAUCGGCCACACUGGGACUGAGACACUGCCCAGACUCCUACGGGAGGCUGCAGUCGAGGAUCAUUCGCAAUGCGCGAAAGCGUGACGAUGCGACGCUGCGUGUAGGAUGACGGCCUUCGGGUUGUAAACUACUGUCAUGAGGGAAAAACCAGCGAUGGGACAAUACCCCAUCGCUCUGAUGGUACCUCAAGAGGAAGCCACGGCUAACUCUGUGCCAGCAGCCGCGGUAAUACAGAGGUGGCUAGCGUUGUUCGGAUUACUGGGCGUAAAGCGUGCGUAGGCGGUUCCGUGUGUCGGGUGUGAAAUCCCACGGCUUACCCGUGGAAUGGCACCCGAAACUGCGGGGCUAGAGUGCAGGAGGGGAGAGCGGAAUUCUUAGUGUAGCGGUGAAAUGCGUUGAUAUUAAGAAGAACACCGGCGGCGAAGGCGGCUCUCUGGAAUGUAACUGACGCUGAGGCACGAAAGUUGGGGGAGCAAACAGGAUUAGAUACCCUGGUAGUCCCAACCGUAAACGGUGUGAACUUGGUGUAGGGGGUAUUGACCCCCCCUGUGCCGGAGCUAACGCGUUAAGUUCACCGCCUGGGGAGUACGGCCGCAAGGCUAAAACUCAAAGAAAUUGACGGGGGCCCGCACAAGCGGAGGAGCAUGUGGCUUAAUUCGAUGCAACGCGAAGAACCUUACCUGGGCUUGACAUGGGGACCCUUCGGGGGUGGUAGCGAAAGUUACCUUUACCAUCACAGGUGCUGCAUGGCUGUCGUCAGUUCGUGCCGUGAGGUGUUUGGUUAAGUCCAGCAACGAACGCAACCCUUGUGACUAGUUACCAGCGUCGGUGAUGAGCCGGCAGGCACUCUAGUCAGACUGCCCGUACAAGCGGGAGGAAGGUGGGGAUGACGUCAAGUCAGUAUGGCCCUUACGCCCAGGGCUGCACACGUGCUACAAUGGUCAGUACAGAAGGAUGCAAAACCGCAAGGUCGAGCAAAUCCCCAAAGCUGGCCCCAGUUCGGAUUGGAGUCUGCAACUCGACUCCAUGAAGUCGGAUUCGCUAGUAACGGCGUAUCAGCUACGACGCCGUGAAUACGUUCCCGGGCCUUGUACACACCGCCCGUCACAUCAUGAAAGCCGUCUGCACCCGAAGUCGCUGAGCCAACCCGCAAGGGAGGCAAGUGCCGAAGGUGUGGGUGGUGAUUGG
rnacentral:rRNA from 1 species